UCAUUACUAGCCUGUACCCCCGCACACUGACUCGGUACCGGUACCCCCUGUAUAUAGCCUCGAUAUUGUUAUUCUUAUUGUCUUACUUUUUAUUAUUACUUAUUACUUUAUACUUUUUAGCCUAAUUGGUCAAUAUUUUCUUCUUCUUGAACUGCAUUGUUGGUUAAAGGGCUUGUAAGUGAACAUUUCACGGUGAGGUCUACAGUUGUUGUAUUCGGCGCAUGUGGCAAAUAAAGUUUGAUUUGAUGUGAUAAAUCAUACCGGGCCCAGUUUCCCCCCGUAGCGAUGGAAUUUAGGAUUAUGAUUGUUUUAACGAUGCAUCUUUUCUACAACGGCCCGAAUAUGUAACAAACGUUUUCCCUCAAACAUCACGCAGAGAGAAAAUGGUCGCUAAAUGCGUCGUCGGAGCACGUGUCCAUACUGAUAGGAUUGAAAGGAAGGGAGCGUUGUUCUUGGAUCCGUUUUUCCUCGAUUCAAAUCGUUCCUUAGUAUUAGAAUUAUUGCACAAUACUAGAGCGACAUAACCGGCUUAUUCUAAUGCUUAGCCAAACUAAAUAACCAAUUCGGCACAUCAUUGCUUACAUUUUACGCCAUGUAUCAUGAAAUAUAUUGAGACUAAUUACAGACAGUAGCCUACAAGUAGCAAAAUAUAACUCCUUUGAUAUAACAUGUUAUUUCACUAUGAUUGAAAUAGGUCUAUAGCCUACUAUUUCUAUUUCAAUGCAGUCAUCUCGCUUUUCAUUUGAAGCAUAUUUUUUAUAUACAUCACUUGUUUGCAUCACUUGCAAAGACAUUGGCAACUUUGUAUUUGUAGUCGACUGUGUUCUGAAGUUAUUGGCAGGUCACAGAGAAACAGAUAAACAAUGUGAUUCUAUGAUUAGCGGAGAUCUACUGUGUAUGAAGAAACACGGGAGGGCAAAAAAAAAGCAUUGAGCGGUGUGCUUAGCUGUUCUACGAAUGGUCUGAGGGCAGGAGUUAGAUUACCAGUGGUCUGAGGGCAGGAGUUAGAUUACCAGUGGUCUGAGGCGUUAGAUUACCAGUGGUCUGAGGCGUUAGAUUACCAGUGGUCUGAGGCAUUAGAUUACCAGUGGUCUGAGGCGUUAGAUUACCAGUGGUCUGAGGGCAGGCGUUAGAUUACCAGUGGUCUGAGGGCAGGCGUUAGAUUACCAGUGGUCUGAGGGGAGGAGUAAGAUUGCCAGUGGUCUGAGGGCAGGAGUUAGAUUACCAGUGGUCUGAGGCAUUAGAUUACCAGUGGUCUGAGGGCAGGCGUUAGAUUACCAGUGGUUUUUGGGCAGGCGUUAGAUUACCAGUGGUCUGAGGGCAGGCGUUAGAUUACCAGUGGUCUGAGGGCAGGCGUUAGAUUACCAGUGGUCUGAGGGCAGGCGUUAGAUUACCAGUGGUCUGAGGGCAGGCGUUAGAUUACCAGUGGUCUGAGGCGUUAGAUUACCAGUGGUCUGAGGCGUUAGAUUACCAGUGGUCUGAGGCGUUAGAUUACCAGUGGUCUGAGGCAUUAGAUCACCAGUGGUCUGAGGGCAGGAGUUAGAUUACCAGUGGUCUGAGGCAUUAGAUUACCAGUGGUCUGAGGCAUUAGAUUACCAGUGGUCUGAGGCAGGCAUUAGAUUACCAGUGGUCUGAGGGCAGGCGUUAGAUUACCAGUGGUCUGAGGGCAGGCGUUAGAUUACCAGUGGUCUGAGGGCAGGCGUUAGAUUACCAGUGGUCUGAGGGCAGGCGUUAGAUUACCAGUGGUCUGAGGCGUUAGAUUACCAGUGGUCUGAGGCGUUAGAUUACCAGUGGUCUGAGGGCAGGCGUUAGAUUACCAGUGGUCUGAGGCGUUAGAUUACCAGUGGUCUGAGGCGUUAGAUUACCAGUGGUCUGAGGCGUUAGAUUACCAGUGGUCUGUGGGCAGGCGUUAGAUUACCAGUGGUCUGAGGCAUUAGAUUACCAGUGGUCUGAGGGCAGGAGUUAGAUUACCAGUGGUUUUUGGGCAGGCGUUAGAUUACCAGUGGUCUGAGGGCAGGCAUUAGAUUACCAGUGGUCUGAGGGCAGGAGUUAGAUUACCAGUGGUCUGAGGGCAGGCAUUAGAUUACCAGUGGUCUGAGGGCAGGAGUUAGAUUACCAGUGGUCUGAGGCGUUAGAUUACCAGUGGUCUGAGGCGUUAGAUCACCAGUGGUCUGAGGGCAGGCGUUAGAUUACCAGUGGUCUGAGGGCAGGCGUUAGAUUACCAGUGGUCUGAGGGUAGGCGUUAGAUUACCAGUGGUCUGAGGCGUUAGAUUACCAGUGGUCUGAGGGCAGGCGUUAGAUUACCAGUGCUCUGAGGCAUUAGAUUACCAGUGGUCUGAGGGCAGGAGUUAGAUUACCAGUGGUUUUUGGGCAGGCGUUAGAUUACCAGUGGUCUGAGGGCAGGCGUUAGAUUACCAGUGGUCUGAGGGCAGGCGUUAGAUUACCAGUGGUCUGAGGGCAGGCGUUAGAUUACCAGUGGUCUGAGGGCAGGCGUUAGAUUACCAGUGGUCUGAG
rnacentral:lncRNA from 1 species